rnacentral:rRNA from 1 species
CAGCCGCCGCGGUAAUACCGGCGGCCCGAGUGGCGGUCACUAUUAUUGGGCUUAAAGCGUCCGUAGCCGGGUUGGGAAGUCCUCCGGGAAAUCUGGCCGCUUAACGGUCAGAAUGCCGGAGGAUACUCCCAGCCUAGGGAGCGGGAGAGGCCGAGGGUAUUCCCGGAGUAGGGGUGAAAUCCUAUAAUCCCGGGGGGACCACCUGUGGCGAAGGCGCUCGGCUGGAACGCGUCCGACGGUGAGGGACGAAGGCCAGGGGAGCAAACCGGAUUAGAUACCCGGGUAGUCCUGGCUGUAAACGAUGCGGACUUUGUGUCGGACAAGCUAUGAGCUUGUCCGGUGCCGGAGGGAAACCGUUAAGUCCGCCGCCUGGGGAGUACGGCCGCAAGGCUGAAACUUAAAGGAAUUGGCGGG